rnacentral:lncRNA from 1 species
AGAGAGAGAGAGGAGGAGAGACUAGCGAGAGAGAGGGAAGAAGAGAGACAAGAGAGUGGGAGAGGAGGAGAGAAGAGAGAGAGAGGGAAGAAGAGAGACAAGAGAGUGGGAGAGGAGGAGAGAAGAUAGAGAGAGGGAAGAUGAGAGACAAGGUAGAGAGUGCUUACAACAGAGAGCAGGCAGAAGUCGAUCCUGGUUUGACAGGUCUAGUGAUGGCUGGGUAGAGCUAGCUUAGUGAGGGCUGGGUACAGCUAGCUUAGUGAUGGCUGUGUAGAGCUAGCUUAGUGAGGGCUGGGUACAGCUAGCUUAUGAGGGCUGGAUAGAGCUAGCUUAGUGAGGGCUGGG